UCAUAGAUGGAGUUGCCGCAGUCUGCCCACUGUAUUUUUUCAUCGCUGCGAUCAUCAAGCUUGUGCAACGGGUCGGAAGGGGCUUGGCAGGACCGCAGAGGGUGGGGAAGCGUAUCUCUUCUCACUCACGCUCCGUAGCAAUCGAACCCAUCAUCGCGUUCGUAGAUCGUGCGCUGCGGAGGGACUCUUUUCGCAAGUGUGUCUCCCUCGCUCUCCUUAACGGGUCGCUACACAAUUAUCUGACCCCGCACGUGCACACACACACCCGUUCCGCCCUGCACAAGCGCAUCAUCACAGGAGCACGCACGCACACCUUCUUUUCCAGCGGCCUUCCUUUUUCGUUUCUUUGUCUGCUUGCAUCCCUCGAGUAAGCGAUGUUUUUUUGGGGCAGCUACAACUUUCAAGAGUCGCAGUUGUCGGAGAACCCCGACCGGCCGCCUCUGCGCUACCCCGGGUAUCUACCGCCCUCCCCCGCCAUGCUGCGCCACAGGCCAUCUGCGAACCAAAACGCGACGGCCAGCUCGUCUUCUCUCCAGUCCGAUGCCGCUUCGGUGCAAGAAUCGCUUCGGAGAAUCACAGCACUGCGCAUGCAAGUCCACCAUAUCGCGUGCGGCGCGAAACACCUUGUCGCGGCCGUCAGCCUUGUGCCAGCCGCAGAAGCGGCACCCGCCGGCAGCAGUGAGCCUGUGAUUGCACUUUAUGGUAUGGGAAACAACGAGUACGGUCAGCUCGGUCAUCAUGUGGCGAACUACGCAACCACGCUGACGCAUCUGCGCCUGGAGGACUUGAUGGAGGGCACCGUCGUCAGCGUUGCCUGCGGGGCUCGGCACACAAUUGUCUGCACCUCGACCGGCUGCGUGUACGUUACCGGCGACAACUCGUUCCACCAGCUGGGACUGCCUCGGCAAAUGGUGAAGCCGUUGCCGCGGGGCGGCACGUAUGCGCCAAGCUUCACCCAGCUCAAAAGUCUUGCGCAUGUGAAGGCAGUGUACGCCAGCGGCAACGCAUCCUUCGCGCUCGACCGGCGCGGCCAGGUGUACUCGUGGGGUGAGUCCAAGUACGGGCACCUCGGGCACAACGACAACGGAGAGCGGCUCGACACGCAAACUCUCAAGACCGUCUCGACAAACGUUGCCACGCCGCAGCUGGUGCGCUGGUUCGAACGCCACCGCGUCACGAUUGUCGAGGUGGCUGUAGGGAGGUCGCACAUGGUCUGUCGCAGUGAGGAGGAUGUCUACACGUGCGGUGAGCCCUUUUUUGGGAAGCUUGGGCAAGGCGACAUCGACCCACGUCUCGAGCCGACGCGCGUGAAGUUCCCACCGCGUAAGCAAGUGGAGCGGUUGCUGGGCAUCGCGGCCGGUGAUGACCACACCCUUGUUCUCAAGGAAAACCCGCUCAUCGGGACCGUCGUGUACUUCUUCGGCAAGCUCAACAACGGAGAUGGGCAGCUGCAGCCUACUAUUGUGCAGUUGCCAACAACUGCAGUGCGGUCGGUGAUGGCCGGCCGCGGCACCUUCUGCGCCGCUAUCACACAGGAGGGGCAGCUCUACGUCUGGGGGAAGCACGCCUACACGAAGGUGUGCAACGGCACAAAUGCGGCGGCGUCACGCACGCAGCCCAGCAAAGUGCAGCUGCUUGAGCCGUACUCGAUUGGCGGGGCGGUGUCAGGGGGCACCUUCAUGGUGGCGUACGCCGCUGCAGGGACUGUCGUGCGGCCCGUGUCCGACCCUGCCGCAGCGGGUGACGGGAAGGUCGAGGUGAAGGAGGAGAGCGGCACAGCGAGUGAGGAGGCCGUUGCGGCAACAACGGCGGCGCACAGUUGGGACGUCGUUGUUCCGCACGACGCUCGUGUCGGCCGCGAUGGCCUCGGCGAUCCCGAGGAAGAGUACGAGGAGGGUCUCCACGCUCUUCUGCGCCAGUACCUGGGCCCCUCCUUGGGGAAUGCCUACGUGAGGCAGCUUCCGGCAGCACCCCCGCGCACCGCAGCCCCGGCGUAUCAGUUUGAACACAUCGCCGUGAAGGACUUAAGUUGUGGGCAGAAGGUACGGCUGUGGAUGACGGACAUCUACGCCCUUGGCACGAUCGUCGACGAGCUUGCCGAUCAGCCGCCAGGUGCGUCUUCUAGCCACGUGGGCAAAGCAUCCACCUCCAGCGGCGCCGCCGCCACGGUCGUCCUCAGCGAGCCCUUUCAGUGUGAUAAGAUAAGCCAGACGGGGGCUGCGGCACCGUCAGGCGCGGCGGCCGAGGAGGAUGCCGUUGACCACUCCCCCUCAUCGCCCAAGGGGAAGCGAGUGAAGGUGGAGUGGCAGCGCGACGACUGGGACGACGAGGUGGUCACGCUCUACUCCGAGGACGAAACGCUCAACGAGGAGAACGCGAACCGCUGGCAGCCGUUCUGGUUUGAGCAGAAUCCCGACGGCGAGUACGUGGUUCCCAAGAGUAAGUGAUGUGGUGAUGGUGUCCAUGUACGUGCGUACGUGUGUAAGGGUGAAAACAAAGAAGACCUACUCCUGUGGUGAUGAGCGGGGAGUUGGAUGAGGCACGCAUCUCGGCCCUUCAUUUGCUCUGCCACUCGUUAUCUUGGUAGCGGGGGGGGGGUGUAUGAAAUGAAGCGGGCACAUCGUUGUACCCUCAUAGAGAUGCAGACGUGCGUGCGCGCAGGCAGCGGUGGUGGUGCGCACAUCAGGUGUCAGGCCAUGGGGGUUGGCGGUGGGGUGGGAUCGGCCUUUACUGUUUGCACCCGUACUUUGCCAGAUGCACUCGAUACGCGAGAUCUCUGCGCUCUACCAAAAUAUAUCCAAGGACAUGCUCACGACACAGCGAAAAAGCGAAUGCGGUGAUAGAGGAAGGGUGGCGCGGACGGUAUUCAGCUCCCUUUGGAGGCAGUUUCGCCUCCACCACUGCGGUAAUCGAUGAACGCGUGACGCAGCGCCGCCUGUUCGCACUUUGGUGCACUUGAUCAUCCAAGUGGUGACGUCGAGCGUCG
rnacentral:misc_RNA from 1 species